rnacentral:rRNA from 1 species
GACGAACGCUGGCGGCGUGCUUAACACAUGCAAGUCGAACGGAAAGGCCCUGCUUUUGUGGGGUGCUCGAGUGGCGAACGGGUGAGUAACACGUGAGUAACCUGCCCUUGACUUUGGGAUAACUUCAGGAAACUGGGGCUAAUACCGGAUAGGAGCUCCUGCUGCAUGGUGGGGGUUGGAAAGUUUCGGCGGUUGGGGAUGGACUCGCGGCUUAUCAGCUUGUUGGUGGGGUAGUGGCUUACCAAGGCUUUGACGGGUAGCCGGCCUGAGAGGGUGACCGGCCACAUUGGGACUGAGAUACGGACCAGACUCCUACGGGAGGCAGCAGUGGGGAAUAUUGCACAAUGGGCGGAAGCCUGAUGCAGCAACGCCGCGUGCGGGAUGACGGCCUUCGGGUUGUAAACCGCUUUCGGCUGUGACGAAGCGUGAGUGACGGUAAUGGGUAAAGAAGCACCGGCUAACUACGUG